rnacentral:rRNA from 1 species
GAUGAACGCUGGCGGCGUGCCUAAUACAUGCAAGUCGAACGAACGGACGAGAAUCUUGCUUCUCUGAUGUUAGCGACGGACGGGUGAUGAACCCGUGGAUAACCUACCUAUAAGACUGGGAUAACUUCGGGAAACCGUAGCUAAUACCGGAUAAUAUUUUGAACCGCAGGGUUCAAAAGUGAAAGACGUUCUUGCUGUCACUUAUAGAUGGAUCCUCGCUGCAUUAGCUAGUUGGUAAGGUAAAGGCUUACCAAGGCAACGAUGCAUAGCCGACCUGAGAGGGUGAUCGGCCACACUGGAACUGAGACACGGUCCAGACUCCUACGGGAGGCAGCAGUAGGGAAUCUUCGGCAAUGGGCGAAAGCCUGACGGAGCAACGCCGCGUGAGUGAUGAAGGUCUUCGGAUCGUAAAACUCUGUUAUUAGGGAAGAACAUAUGUGUAAGUAACUGUGGAGAUCUUGACGGUACCUAAUCAGAAAGCCACGGCUAACUACGUG